rnacentral:rRNA from 1 species
CUAGCUGGUCUGAGAGGAUGACCAGCCACACUGGAACUGAGACACGGUCCAGACUCCUACGGGAGGCAGCAGUGGGGAAUAUUGCACAAUGGGCGCAAGCCUGAUGCAGCCAUGCCGCGUGUAUGAAGAAGGCCUUCGGGUUGUAAAGUACUUUCAGCGGGGAGGAAGGGAGUAAAGUUAAUACCUUUGCUCAUUGACGUUACCCGCAGAAGAAGCACCGGCUAACUCCGUGCCAGCAGCCGCGGUAAUACGGAGGGUGCAAGCGUUAAUCGGAAUUACUGGGCGUAAAGCGCACGCAGGCGGUUUGUUAAGUCAGAUGUGAAAUCCCCGGGCUCAACCUGGGAACUGCAUCUGAUACUGGCAAGCUUGAGUCUCGUAGAGGGGGGUAGAAUUCCAGGUGUAGCGGUGAAAUGCGUAGAGAUCUGGAGGAAUACCGGUGGCGAAGGCGGCCCCCUGGACGAAGACUGACGCUCAGGUGCGAAAGCGUGGGGAGCAAACAGG